rnacentral:rRNA from 1 species
AAGCCCCGCAAGGGGCAAGUAGAGUGGCAAACGGGUGAGUAACACGUGGGUGACCUGCCUUCGAGUGGGGGAUAACGUCCCGAAAGGGACGCUAAUACCGCAUGACAUCCCGCCUUUGAACAGGCGGAGAUCAAAGCUGGGGAUCGCAAGACCUGGCGCUCAAAGAGGGGCCCGCGCCUGAUUAGCUAGUUGGUGAGGUAACGGCUCACCAAGGCGACGAUCGAUAGCUGGUCUGAGAGGAUGAUCAGCCACAUUGGGACUGAGACACGGCCCAAACUCCUACGGGAGGCAGCAGUGGGGAAUAUUGGACAAUGGGCGCAAGCCUGAUCCAGCCAUGCCGCGUGAGUGAUGACGGCCUUAGGG